rnacentral:rRNA from 1 species
CCUACGGGAGGCAGCAGUGGGGAAUUUUGGACAAUGGGCGCAAGCCUGAUCCAGCAAUGCCGCGUGCAGGAUGAAGGCCUUCGGGUUGUAAACUGCUUUUGCACGGAACGAAACGGCUCCUAUUAAUACUGGGGGCUAAUGACGGUACCGUAAGAAUAAGCACCGGCUAACUACGUGCCAGCAGCCGCGGUAAUACGUAGGGUGCGAGCGUUAAUCGGAAUUACUGGGCGUAAAGCGUGCGCAGGCGGUUAUAUAAGACAGAUGUGAAAUCCCCGGGCUCAACCUGGGACCUGCAUUUGUGACUGUAUAGCUAGAGUACGGUAGAGGGGGAUGGAAUUCCGCGUGUAGCAGUGAAAUGCGUAGAUAUGCGGAGGAACACCGAUGGCGAAGGCAAUCCCCUGGACCUGUACUGACGCUCAUGCACGAAAGCGUGGGGAGCGAAACAGGAUUAGAUACCCUGGUAGUCCACGCCCUAAACGAUGUCAACUGGUUGUUGGGUCUUCACUGACUCAGUACGAAGCUAACGCGUGAAGUUGACCGCCUGGGGAGUACGGCCGCAAGGUUGAACGUCGAAGGAUUGACGG